CCCCGUGCGCCCUACCUCCACUACCGCGGCCGGAAUGGCGAUAUCGCCGUAGUGCCCGGAUGUAGCAGCCGAAGCGUCAGGUUCGCCCCCUCCCCUUUCGAACCUGCAUAAAGCGCGGCCAGCUUCUCCGGGUUGGGCGACACCAUUUGAGGGGAGGGGGGUGUUGUGGGAGGGGGAAAGGCUGUACGUCGUGAACGCUGCGCUCCGCUGGCGGAGGCCGCAUCCCAUCCACCCCGCGGGAGGAGACCGGCCGGCCGGUCGGCUGGCUGUCUGGCUUCCCUUUUCAGGUCUUUUGUUGUUCCGGCGUUUCUGGGAAGGCAUCCCCUACGGCCUCGGUUUCCCCGUUAUUGGCGUCAGCGAAUAACCCGGCCUCGUCGCUGCACCGCGAGGGACGCCCCGGCGAGCUGAGUAACAAUGAGCAAUUCGAGGAACAACCGAGUGAUGGUGGAGGGCGUCGGUGCCCGCGUCGUGAGGGGCCCCGACUGGAAAUGGGGCAAGCAGGAUGGCGGCGAGGGCCAUGUGGGCACCGUGCGCAGUUUCGAAAGCCCCGAGGAGGUGGUGGUGGUCUGGGACAACGGCACGGCCGCCAAUUACCGCUGCUCGGGAGCCUAUGACCUGCGCAUCCUCGACAGCGCGCCCACAGGUAUUAAACAUGAUGGGACUAUGUGCGAUACUUGUCGCCAGCAACCAAUAAUUGGUAUUCGAUGGAAAUGUGCGGAAUGUACAAAUUAUGAUUUAUGCACAGUAUGUUAUCAUGGGGAUAAACAUCAUCUAAGACACCGCUUUUACAGAAUAACCACACCUGGAAGUGAAAGGGUAUUACUGGAAUCUCGCCGUAAAUCAAAGAAAAUUACUGCAAGAGGAAUCUUUACAGGUGCCAGGGUGGUACGAGGAGUUGAUUGGCAAUGGGAAGAUCAGGAUGGUGGCAAUGGACGCAGGGGCAAAGUAACUGAAAUCCAAGACUGGAGUGCAUCAAGUCCACAUAGUGCAGCAUAUGUUUUAUGGGACAAUGGAGCUAAAAACCUUUACAGAGUUGGCUUUGAGGGCAUGUCAGACCUUAAAUGUGUCCAGGAUUCAAAAGGAGGAUCCUUCUAUCGAGACCACUGUCCUGUGCUUGGAGAACAGAAUGGCAACCGAAAUCCUGGUGGUUUACAGAUUGGUGAUUUAGUGAACAUUGAUCUUGACUUAGAAAUUGUUCAGUCAUUGCAACAUGGGCAUGGAGGAUGGACUGAUGGAAUGUUUGAAACCUUAACAACUACUGGCACAGUUUGUGGAAUAGAUGAAGACCAUGACAUUGUUGUACAAUAUCCAAGUGGGAAUAGAUGGACCUUUAACCCUGCUGUUCUUACUAAAGCCAAUGUUGUCCGAAGUGGAGAUGGUGUGCAAGGUGCUGAAGGUGGUGCUUCACAAUUUCAAGUGGGUGAUCUUGUCCAAGUUUGUUAUGACUUAGAAAGAAUUAAGUUGCUUCAAAGGGGACAUGGUGAAUGGGCUGAAGCAAUGCUUCCUACCCUAGGUAAAGUUGGAAGGGUCCAGCAGAUCUACUCGGAUAGUGACUUAAAAGUAGAGGUUUGUGGAACGUCUUGGACAUAUAAUCCCGCUGCUGUGUCAAAGGUAGCAUCAGCAGGAUCAGCUAUAAGCAAUGCAUCUGGCGAGAGAUUGUCCCAGUUACUGAAGAAAUUAUUUGAAACUCAAGAAUCUGGGGAUCUUAAUGAGGAGCUAGUUAAAGCAGCUGCUAAUGGAGAUGUAGCAAAAGUGGAAGAUUUGCUUAAAAGACCUGAUGUGGAUGUGAAUGGACAAUGCGCUGGACACACUGCUAUGCAAGCUGCAAGUCAAAAUGGACAUGUUGACAUUUUGAAAUUGCUUCUGAAACAGAAUGUGGAUGUAGAAGCAGAGGACAAAGAUGGAGACAGGGCUGUUCAUCAUGCAGCCUUUGGUGAUGAAGGAGCUGUGAUAGAAGUUUUACAUAGAGGCAGUGCAGAUCUCAAUGCUCGCAAUAAGCGUAGACAGACACCACUUCAUAUUGCUGUGAAUAAAGGUCAUCUCCAAGUUGUGAAGACAUUACUGGACUUUGGUUGCCAUCCUAGUCUCCAGGAUUCUGAGGGUGAUACUCCUCUGCAUGACGCAAUAAGCAAAAAGCGUGAUGACAUUUUAGCAGUCCUCCUGGAAGCUGGAGCAGAUGUUACUAUUACAAAUAACAAUGGAUUUAAUGCUCUUCAUCAUGCUGCAUUAAGGGGAAAUCCAAGUGCAAUGAGAGUGUUACUGUCUAAGCUUCCAAGACCAUGGAUUGUAGAUGAAAAAAAAGAUGACGGAUACACUGCUUUGCAUUUGGCAGCACUUAAUAAUCAUGUAGAAGUAGCAGAACUUUUGGUACAUCAGGGCACAGCUAACUUGGAUAUUCAGAAUGUAAAUCAACAAACUGCACUGCACCUUGCUGUUGAAAGACAGCACACUCAAAUAGUGCGGCUUCUAGUUCGUGCAGGUGCUAAAUUAGAUAUUCAGGAUAAAGAUGGAGAUACUCCCCUGCAUGAGGCCCUGCGACAUCAUACUUUGUCGCAGCUUCGCCAGCUCCAAGACAUGCAAGAUGUGGGCAAGGUAGAUACAGCUUGGGAGCCCUCCAAGAAUACAUUGAUAAUGGGAUUGGGUACUCAGGGAGCAGAGAAGAAAAGUGCAGCAUCUAUUGCCUGUUUCCUGGCAGCCAAUGGAGCUGACCUUGGUAUUCGUAACAAGAAGGGUCAAUCACCCCUUGACUUAUGUCCUGAUCCUAGCCUCUGUAAAGCAUUGGCUAAAUGCCACAAAGAAAAAAUCAGUGGACAGGUUGGUUCCCGGAGUCCUUCUAUGAUCAGCAAUGAUUCCGAAACCCUAGAAGAAUGUAUGGUAUGUUCUGAUAUGAAGAGAGAUACUCUAUUUGGUCCAUGUGGGCACAUUGCUACUUGUUCCUUGUGUUCACCAAGAGUCAAGAAAUGCCUCAUUUGCAAAGAGCAUGUUCAAUCAAGAACAAAGAUUGAAGAAUGUGUUGUAUGCUCAGAUAAAAAAGCUGCCGUACUCUUUCAGCCUUGUGGACACAUGUGUGCUUGUGAAAAUUGUGCCAGCCUUAUGAAAAAAUGUGUGCAAUGUCGGGCAGUGGUAGAACGAAGAGUUCCUUUUAUUAUGUGCUGUGGUGGGAAAGGUACCGAAGAUACCAUUGAUGACAUUACAAGUGGAAACAUUCCUGUAAUGCAGAAGGAUAAGGAUAAUACUAAUGUCAAUGCUGAUGUGCAGAAAUUACAGCAGCAGUUGCAAGACAUAAAGGAACAGAUUCCGUAAAACAUCAGGGAUUUGUGCAGGCAGUCGCCAGGAGUCAACACUAACUCAAUGGGGAAGUGAGGAAGUUCUACCGUGAUGCUACUGCUUGGGGAAGUAUCCAUCAUGAUAAUGCCCAUAUCUAUUUAUCCCUCAUUCUCUCUGCCCAUUUCUGCUUUAGUGCAUAGUCACCUUCAGCAGUUGUAACCGCCCUGGUAUAAUACCAUGUGCCCUGUAUGCUUGGACCGCCUGAAGAAUAUGAUCUUUCUCUGCGGUCAUGGAACCUGUCAGCUUUGUGGGGAUCGAAUGAGUGAAUGUCCUAUCUGUCGAAAGGCUAUUGAACGAAGAAUUCUUUUGUAUUAAAAUGUCAAGUGACUUAUGCUUGUGA